UUGGAUUUGUGGCAGUCGCGUGCGGCCCGGCAUUCGUGCCGGUGCUUGCUAGCGUCGCCAUCCUUGGGUGGAACCUGUGUGGCAUUAGGUUGUCGUGCAGGGGAUGCCCAUCGUUUACUGUGAAAAAAUUAGAGUGUUCAAAGCAGGCUUAUGCCGUUGAAUAUAUUAGCAUGGAAUAAUAAGAUAGGACCUUGGUACUAUUUUGUUGGUUUGCGCACCAAGGUAAUGAUUAAUAGGGACAGUUGGGGGUAUUCGUAUUCCAUUGUCAGAGGUGAAAUUCUUGGAUUUCUGGAAGACGAACUACUGCGAAAGCAUUUACCAAGGAUGUUUUCAUUAAUC
rnacentral:rRNA from 1 species